GUCUUGAGCAAAAAAAGUGAUUUAUUAAAUCAUGUGCAAAAUAAACACAACUGGUUGUCUUUAUUUUGCACAUGAUUUAAUAAAUCACUUUUUUUGCUCAAGAC